CAAUAGCGUAUAUUAAAGUUGUUGCGGUCAAAAAGCUCGUAGUUGGAUUUCUACCGAAGAUAGCCGGUCGGGUCUUCGACCUUGUAUCUGGUUUUGUCUUUGGUAUCCUCAUAGGGAACGUUUCUGCGCUUUAUUGCGUGGUGCGGUAUCUAUGACUUUUACUUUGAGGAAAUUAGAGUGUUCACGGCAGGCAAACGCCUUGAAUAUAUUAGCAUGGAAUAAUAACAUAGGAUCUUCGUCCUAUUUUGUUGGUUUCUAGGGCUAAGAUAAUGAUUAAUGGGGAUAAUUGGGGGCAUCUGUAUCAACGCGUCAGAGGUGGAAUUCUUGGAUUGCGUUGCGACAAACUACUGCGAAAGCAUUUGCCAAGGAUGUUUUCAUUGA
rnacentral:rRNA from 1 species